AUUCAAUCAUUGUAACGUAUCUCUUCCGUUUCGAAAAAAGAUUUUUGUUUCAACGUCCUUCUUCCACAAUUUGCUUAUGCAGGAAGCAAAUAAAUCGUCAAAGUGUUGAUCGAUCAUUUGAUUUCGUUUGAAAAUAUUGGAAGUUACUAUCGACAGGAUGAAAUUUUUCCGGACCAGUUUUAUCUUAAUGAUAAUUUUGUAUUUUGGAUUGAUAGAAUUGGUUAUGAGCAGACCACCACAAGUACCACCACAUGUUGAUCCACCACAACUUUUAAGAACUACAACUACAACUCCACCUAGACCUGCUUACACCUAUCCACCUGGUCGCCCAGCAAUCAUAAAUCCAAAACCUAUAGGAUGUAAGUUAGGUGAAAAAAGAGACGACUAUGGCAUGUGUAGAACUAUGGUAUCAUAAAUU
rnacentral:lncRNA from 1 species